AAGGUUAGCCUCAAUCCAUCCCCCAUCUCCCUGGAGGUGUUUUCUGUUCCCUCCCUCUUCCUCCGCUUGUCUGUUCGGCUCAACACAGCCUGGAUCAGUGGCAGGUUUCUGAGGAGACACUACACAGCUCUGGGAUCCAGUUUGAUCCAGUUUGAAGUCAGUAUUAAUUUAGCUUCUUGUGUGAUGGAUAAGUGUUUGAUGACACUCCCAGUCCUGCUGCUGUUCCUGGGCCUGGUUGGGAUAUCCCGCUCCUGUCUGAAUCCUGUCUCUGCACACAGAUUCACUGGGGCUGUCUGUAGGCUGACCUACUCUGCAGCAGUGGUCUUAAAUGAGAAGACCACCAAGGUGAUCCAGGCUGCAUUCCAGCAUGAACAGCGAGAAGUCUAUUCUCUUUGUUGGAAAGGUUAAAUAUGGGCUUACCAUGUGAGUGGACCUCUCUCCUUCCACAGUCAGCACACCAGCACCACAUUCUGGAGAUCCAUAACCUGUCGAUUGGGCAGAGUGAGUUUGAGCUGAAGCCAGGUAAAGGCACUGAGAUUGCUAUCUCCAAAGUGUCUGCUGUUUCCAAGGGAACCAUCCAGUAUGAAAAUGGCAGCUGGCUGUGAGUCCUUCCAUCAAUCACUGUAACCGGGGAGGAUGACACUGAGCGGGAAAAAGAUGGAACUAGUGUUGAUCAGUUUAUGUUCAGAUUUUUAAUAUACAUUUCUGUGAGUUUUAAUGUUAUGUUGUAUUUUAACCAAAUAUCCUGGUAUGUAGGCUACUACUAAGGCUUGUAUGUUGACCUUAGAUAACUGUGUGCUGGUGACACUGCCAUGUGUCACUGUUUGCAGUGUCAACGUGGGACAUUCAGUAGAUUUUGAAAUUGAGUCACAUAUUGAUCUCGGCAUUAAUCCCAAACUUUGUAAGUACAUUUUUCUGUCCAUUGUUUUUGUAGUUUUCAAUGUUCACUCUCAUUCUCAUUCUCCUCAAGAGUUGAAAGGAAUCUUAUAAACAGAGUUUUAUUGUGA